AAAGUAAAAUUUCGUGGAGGUCCGAACCCACGAGCGUUGAAAAGCUCGGGGAUGACUUGUGGGUAGCGGUGAAAUUCCAAUCGAGCCCGGAGAUAGCUGGUUCUCCCCGAAAUAGCUUUAGGGCUAGCCUCAAGGUGAGAGAUACGGAGGUAGAGCACUGAAUGUCCUAGGGGGUAUUGCACCUACCGAAGACUAUUAAACUCCGAAUGCCGUCAUCUUAUACUUGGGAGUCAGACUGUGGGUGAUAAGAUUCAUAGUCGAAAGGGCAACAGCCCAGAUCGUCAGCUAAGGUCCCUAAAU
rnacentral:rRNA from 1 species